CGUGUAGGCGGCUCAAUAAGUCUGGUGUGAAACCUUGGGGCUUAACCCCAAGCCUGCACUGGAUACUGCUGAGCUUGAGUCCGGGAGGGGAGAGCGGAAUUCCUAGUGUAGCGGUGAAAUGCGCAGAUAUUAGGAAGAACACCGGUGGCGAAGGCGGCUCUCUGGAACGGUACUGACGCUGAGACGCGAAAGCGUGGGGAGCGAACA
rnacentral:rRNA from 1 species